UCCGAGUGGUUUCUGCUAAAGGAACCUUUUGACAGUCCUAGAAACACUGUUGAAUAAGGGGUGGGCAAGUUCUGGUGUCAGCCGCCGCGGUAAAACCAGCACCUCAAGUGGUCAGGAUGAUUAUUGGGCCUAAAGCAUCCGUAGCCGGCUCUGUAAGUUUUCGGUUAAAUCUGUACGCUCAACGUACAGGCUGCUGGGAAUACUGCAGGGCUAGGGAGUGGGAGAGAUAGACGGUACUCGGGAGGAAGUGGUAAAAUGCUUUGAUCUCUCGAUGACCACCUGUGGCGAAGGCGGUCUAUCAGAACACGUCCGACGGUGAGGGAUGAAAGCUGGGGGAGCAAACCGGAUUAGAUACCCGGGUAGUCCCAGCUGUAAACUAUGCAAACUCAAUGAUGCAUUGACUUAUGGUCAAUGCAGUGUUGCAGGGAAGCCGUUAAGUUUGCCGCCUGGGAAGUACGUACGCAAGUAUGAAACUUAAAGGAAUUGGCGGGGGAGCACCACAAGGGGUGAAGCCUGCGGUUCAAUUGGAGUCAACGCCAGAAAUCUUACCCGGAGAGACAGCAGAAUGAAGGUCAAGCUGAAGACUUUACCAGACAAGCUGAGAGGUGGUGCAUGGCCGUCGCCAGCUCGUGCCGUGAGAUGUCCUG
rnacentral:rRNA from 1 species